UUUGCGACUGUGAAAAUGGUUGCUAAACGGUCGCAAAAGAGGGUUUUGCGACUGUUUAACGACUAUUUCGGGUAGUCGCUAAAAAACGGUCGCAAAAUUUCCAUGUCGCAAGAUAGUCGCAAAAUUGCGACUCUUUAACGACUAUAAAUAUAUCGUCGCAGAUCAACGACUAAUCUUUGACUGGUGAAUGUCGUUGCAAAUGUCCGACUAUAGAGCAACGAACAGAAGUUAGCGACUCUUUUGCGACUAUAGUAACCACACAUAAUUGGUCCCACACUGCGACUAGUUUGCGACUGUUUAGAGAGGUAAUAUUGUUCGACUAAUUUGAGACUCUUAUAAUUUGGUGAC
rnacentral:lncRNA from 1 species